rnacentral:rRNA from 1 species
ACUCCUGCGGGAGGCAGCAGUGGGGAAUAUUGCACAAUGGGCGCAAGCCUGAUGCAGCCAUGCCGCGUGUAUGAAGAAGGCCUUCGGGUUGUAAAGUACUUUCAGCGGGGAGGAAGGUGUUGAGGUUAAUAACCUCAGCAAUUGACGUUACCCGCAGAAGAAGCACCGGCUAACUCCGUGCCAGCAGCCGCGGUAAUACGGAGGGUGCAAGCGUUAAUCGGAAUUACUGGGCGUAAAGCGCACGCAGGCGGUCUGUCAAGUCGGAUGUGAAAUCCCCGGGCUCAACCUGGGAACUGCAUUCGAAACUGGCAGGCUAGAGUCUUGUAGAGGGGGGUAGAAUUCCAGGUGUAGCGGUGAAAUGCGUAGAGAUCUGGAGGAAUACCGGUGGCGAAGGCGGCCCCCUGGACAAAGACUGACGCUCAGGUGCGAAAGCGUGGGGAGCAAACAGGAUUAGAUACCCGAGUAGUCCCAUG